ensembl:lncRNA LINC00639 long intergenic non-protein coding RNA 639
CAAGGUGGGGGCCGCCUGCUCAGCCCAGGCUCCCUGAACGUGUGGCUAGCUGAGUUUGCGGAAGAAACCAGGAGAGUGCCAACACCAGGCUUGCAAGCAAGAGGCUCCCUGACUGCCUGAUCCUGGAGCGCACCCCAUCCUCCCUGUGUUCCCUGGGCCUCAGCUGUUCCCCAGUGACCUUGGAGACACCCUGCCCCACCCUGGCUCCACAGGAGCCCUGCCCAUCACCGCCUCAGCUCUGAGUCUCCCCUGGGGACACAACCUUCCUCCUGGUGCAGAGGCGCAGGAUGCUGCCCCUAAGGCCCAUCUUCCUCUGCAGCAUGUUUUGAUGUCAGCUCAUUCACAGGAAAGAAACAAUCACAUCUCAGUGCCCAGAAUGGGGACCAAUAGGAGAGGUCACUGGGAAUAAAGCCCACACGCACCCCAGGGUCCAUGGGCUCCCCAGAAAUGCAGGUGGCCUCCGCCAGAGCCAACAAGCCUAAGUUGCUGAUCAGCCCCUCCCUGCUUCCCUGUGUGGAAGAGGAAACAGAGGCCCAGACUAGUAGGGCUCUGCCGUGGUGGCCGGCUGCGUCCCCAGACCUCUGGUCCCAGGGCUGGCUGGGAGUGCCCCUCCCUGUGCUCACUUCCUGCUCUCCUGGGAAAUGGCUCAGGGAUGGGGCGUGUGGGGACAGAUGCUGGCAUAGCUCACAAAAUGCUUGCACAAGGGACACUCCAUGGCAGGUCCCUGCAGGAGAGCAAAGUCACAACAUUCAGAGAUUCCCUGCACUCUGAGGCCCGCAGAGCCUGGCCGACCAAGCGAGGCUGGGAGGAUGUUGCCUGCUGGUCAGGGCAGCCCUCUGAUCAGGGCGGCCGAGUGAGGCUGGGAGGAUGGUGCCCGCUGGUCAGGGCAGCUGAGCGUGGCUGGGAGGAUGGUGCCUGCUGGUCAGGGCAGCCCUCUGGUCAGGGUGGCCAAGCGAGGCAGGGAGGGAGGUACCCACCGGUCAGGGCAGCCGAACAAAGCUGGAAAGAUGGUGCCUGCUGGUCAGGGCGGCUGAAUGAGGCUGGGAGGAUGGUGUCUGCUGGUCAGGGCAGCUCAGGAGGUGCUGCCCAGGAGGUGCUGUCCAGGCAGAGCCUAGGGCUGGUGUGGGUGUGCCAUGCUCCUGAGAAGUUUCUGGGUUGUGGCUUUAAUGUUCUCCUGCAGUGAGAACGCUGACACUUGGCCAAAGGGUCCUCACCUCUCCCCUAGUACACUUCUGAGAUGCCAGGAAGGUUCUGAACAUCAGAUUGAUUCCUGGGACUCCCCUCCAGGGUGGCCUUACUGGAGUCAGGAGCCCCUGCCCCACUAGGAUGGCUCUGCAGUGGCCUGAGGACAGUGAGCACUGACUGGUCACUGGUGCAAAGUUGCCCACUGUGAUGGUUUUGACCGUUGAUGGGAACCAAGUGAAAGCCCUGCAGCUAUUUCUAGGCAUUUCAGAGGGUGCUUCCCUGCAUGUACUCUGCUGCAGACCAUCCUCCCUGGGCCAGGAGCCCGCUACACAGUAGGAGAUUCUUUUUCUUCUCUUUUGAGCACUUUUAUUCUCUUUUUCUUAAUCUCUGCUCCUCCUUUGAACUGAGAAAUGUGCAAAUCUUUUUUGUUAGUUUUGAGGUUGCUUCUUAUGCAUAUUUCAUCUGGAACUUUCCCCUUUGGGGGUGAUCUGUUCUAUCAGCCUGCCCGCUGCUAGAGAGGCCGAGGUGGUCCGGCCAGCCGUGCGCUGCUGCUGGUGUCUCUGUGGGCAUGACCUGGUGAGAUAUCAUUCUGCAUCUGGGGGUCCAUCCUAUCAGCCCUGUGUUCUAGAUUCCCCAGUGACUGACAUUUAGCCAGUCUCCUCUGUCACUCUCCAGUGACAUGUACACACUGUUGGCACGAACUGCAGAUGUCACGUUCUGUGGCUGAGAGCCUCAGUGUGCAUCUGUAGUAGGAGGAUGUCAGUGAGGACUGUCCUGUCGCUGCUGAGCUGGCACCGACUGUGCCUGGUCUACACUCCAGGUCUGCCAAACGACCCAGCAAGGUCCUUCACAACUCUUCUGAUCCAGGAUCACACAUCACUUGUGCUUUGAUGCCUGCUUCUGAACAAUUUUACCUCCUGAGAUGUCCAUUUUUGGGAGUGUGAGCCCUCCUCUCCUGGUGACAGCUGGCUGAGGCCGUCCAGCCUCAGGACACACAGGGAACGGCUGCAUAAGGAGAUCUGGGGCAGGGGGCCCACCAGGAUGUUCUGCCCUGUGGGGGGCAACACCGGCUGUGGUCUGCCGGCGGCAUCCAGGGACAGUCUGUCUAGGUGAGGCUGAGGCCGCCCCCACUCGCUCCCUCACCCCCAUGCUGACAGCAGUGAGCUGACCACAGACUGGGGGAGCCCCACAGGGAGACUGGCCUCCCCAGCACAUGCCCCGCAGUGCCAGACGCGGUCAUCACAGAGGCAGGUACACGACACCACGGACGUGCCACGUACCCGCCAUCGGGACCAAGGACCACUGAGAAACCAUGAAGGCCAUGCAGCGACUGUGGUGGCAGGACCGUCAGGAGGCCAUAGGUGCCACGGCUCCCCUCUGGUGGUUCACCUGCCCACCUGUAGCUGGGGUGGCCCCUCCAGUGCGCUCCCCAGAGCAGAACACCCCCCAGGCAACACGUCUGAUGAAGGCCAACAGCGUCAGUCCUCUGGUGUUUGGUGACAUCAAAGCUGUGCCGAAAGGCCUUCCCUCACUGCUAACACUUGAAGGGCUUCUGUCCGGUGUGGACCCUCUGAUGGCGAAUGUGGUCUGUCUUAUGCUUAAAGAUCCACCUCCAUUAACUGCACUCUUAGGGUUUCUUCCUCUGAAAAGGAAUGAACACGGGAACCCCCUCAAAGGCAUUUUUAAAUGAAGCGUGGAAGGCAUCAAAGAUGUGCUCUUCUUCAGGACUCAGGCUUCUCCAUCAUUCUCUGUUCCUUGGAAGCGUGAGGGCUAAGGAGCUGCUGACUUCUCUCUCUUGGCCCCACUUCAAGAAAGGCUUGCUUCCCACACACCUCUCCACGCUCCCAGUGCGGGACUGACACUCUGCACCGGGAGGCCAAGGGCCACCAUCGUCUUGCUGGGAGAAGGUGUGACGUUUCUUGGUCAUAGGAGGGAGUGUGAUCUGACACCAGAGGACUUAAUAUAACAUUGCAGUGUUAACAUCUUCACUGGCAGAUUCAUGGACUUUCCCCCUCCUGAAUGCAUUUCAACACCUUGAAAUGAACGAUGCCUCAUGUCUCUGCAGGGUGGACAUAGCUCUAACUCUCUGAAGCUGAGUUGGACAGGUGAAACAUCCACAGUCUUUCUUGACCUGAAUCAAGCUCAGAGUGACAGUGUUUAAGAUUAUAUGUCAAGUUCUGUGUGAAAUGAGAGACCAUGGGGAUUCAUUAUUGCUGGAGUUGACGGUAUUGCAGUUUUAUAACCAUCUAAUAAAUUAGCAUUUAAUACUGAGAGAUUUCAUCUUAAACUCAGAGGAUUGCUUUGUUUUAAAGAAGAUUUUUGCAAGGAGAAGCAAUGGAAACCAUUCAGAAAAUGUGGGAGAUAAAAAUCCUAUUCAAGAAAACGGAUCUUGGAUCUUUGCAUUCACUUGAUUUGUCAGAAUAUUAUUCUGUGCUAAAAAAUAGAAGGGAUUAAAUGUUAAAAAUCACUGAGGCACAAUUCUCUUGAGUUCACCAAUUUUGUACUCCUAUUUCCAGUUUCUUUUCACAUACGUCAUUCUCCAUCCUGAUUAAGCUUGUUCUUUCUGAGCUCAUUUCUGAUACCAAAAGAAGUCAUAAAGUUCUAUAAGAUUAAGAAUUCUCUUAGAAGUACAGAUUUGCAUGAACGUCAAAGAAAAAAAUAUCACAUUUUACUCCCAUAUGCUUUAAUGAUUAUUUUAUUAGGUCAGGCAUGGCUUA